rnacentral:misc_RNA from 1 species
GCCUUCGCUGCUCCGCAGCUUCGGCUUGGCAGGCCGGGUUGAGGGCGAAGGCUGCCGCGCCGGAGCGUUGGCGAAGGCGGGCUUCCGCCGGACGGGGCCAUAGCUCAGUUGGGAGAGCGGUAGCUUUGCAAGCUUCAGGUCGUCGGUUCGAUCCCGUCUGGCUCCACCAUUUCCUGUUAUGCGGCCAUAUUAGAGUUUCGCCGGGCUAAAACCCGUGCGUCUAUGCUCUUUGACAUCGUGAGUGAAGGAAUUUGUCUGUAUGGCCGACGAGCCGUGGGCCGCGAGCGCUUUAAAUCCGCAAGCAGCAGGCAAAUUGAAAGCACAAUAUAAGUUAUACCAUCGAUGACCAUUGCCUGAGCUCUCCCCAGAGCGAGGGAUAACUGGUGUUGACGGCCGGGCUGAAAUUGUCAGAACUCUACUGACAUCCGACACCUGACCACUGACACCUGACUGGGCAUUGAUAAUGAGAGCGAUCAAGCGACUUAAGGGCAUUUGGUGGAUGCCUUGGCACUGAGAGGCGAUGAAGGACGUGGUACGCUGCGAAAAGUUACGGGGAGUCGCGAACAGACUUUGAUCCGUAAAUAU